GAGAAGAAGAAAAAGACAGGCAAAGACCAAAGAGAGAAGAAGAAAAAGAUAGGCAAAGACCAAAGAGAGAAGACGAGAAAGAUGCAAAAACAGAGACAAGGGAAAUAAAGAAAUGGUCAGAAAAAAAGGGAGAGCAGGAGAAAGUCAGUGAAAGAAAAAAUUAACACAAGACAGAAGUCCAAAAACAACAUGUAGCAGCAAGCAGAUCCAUAUAGAAGAUACUAUCAGAA